rnacentral:misc_RNA from 1 species
CGGUGAUGGCUGAUGACUCUUAGAAGGUCCAACAUUAUAGCUUCCUUAACACACAGGUAUUCUUCAUAAUGCGAGGUCUUCACAAAACACGAUACCAAAAUCAGGAGAGCCUGAUUUUCAGGAUUGAUAUUAUCCAAAAAUACUCUUCUAUGCAACCUCUGCUGUUCAACUUGAGGAUUCUUAGCCAAGACUUUGCGCAUAUCAGCGACAAUAUUAUUGAUCUUAUGAACAUCCAAGUGACUAAUGGCCAGGUGGGUUUUAAUACGCCAAUGAGAUUUUUGACUGAGAUUUCUCACAACAUUCACAGUGAACUUGUGAUUUGGAAUAUGAACUGCUUCACGAUCUUC